rnacentral:rRNA from 1 species
CCUACGGGUGGCAGCAGUCGAGAAUCAUUCACAAUGGGGGAAAGCCUGAAGGAGCGACGCCGCGUGGGGGAAUGAAGCUCUGCGGAUUGUAAACCCCUGUUAUGGGGGAGCAAAUUAAAAAGAUAGUACCACAAGAGGAAUAGACGGCGAACCAUGUUCCAGCAGCCGCGGUAAUACAGAGGUCGCAAGCGGUGAUCGGAAUAACUGGGCGUAAAGGGUGCGUUGGGUGUUGCGGAAGUCGUGUGUGAAAGGUGCGGGGUCAACCCGCGGACGGCACCUGAUACUGCGAGACUAGAGUAAUGGAGUGGGAUGCGGAAUGCUCGGUGUAGCAGUGAAAUGCGUAGAUAUCGCGAGGAACACUCGUGGCGAAGGCGGGUUCCUGGACAUUAACUGACGCUGAUGCUCGAAAGCGCGGGUAUCGAACAGGAUUAGAUACCCUUGUAGUC